AAGAGCGGCGGACGGGUGAGUAACGCGUGGGUAACCUGCCCUGUACACACGGAUAACAUACCGAAAGGUAUGCUAAUACGAGAUAAUAUGCUUUUAUCGCAUGGUAGAAGUAUCAAAGCUUUUGCGGUACAGGAUGGACCCGCGUCUGAUUAGCUAGUUGGUAAGGUAACGGCUUACCAAGGCGACGAUCAGUAGCCGACCUGAGAGGGUGAUCGGCCGCAUUGGAACUGAGACACGGUCCAAACUCCUACGGGAGGCAGCAGUGGGGAAUAUUGCACAAUGGGCGAAAGCCUGAUGCAGCAACGCCGCGUGAGCGAUGAAGGCCUUCGGGUCGUAAAGCUCUGUCCUCAAGGAAGAUAAUGACGGUACUUGAGGAGGAAGCCCCGGCUAACUACGUGCCAGCAGCCGCGGUAAUACGUAGGGGGCUAGCGUUAUCCGGAAUUACUGGGCGUAAAGGGUGCGUAGGUGGUUUCUUAAGUCAGAGGUGAAAGGCUACGGCUCAACCGUAGUAAGCCUUUGAAACUGGGAAACUUGAGUGCAGGAGAGGAGAGUGGAAUUCCUAGUGUAGCGGUGAAAUGCGUAGAUAUUAGGAGGAACACCAGUU
rnacentral:rRNA from 1 species